GAUUCAUGCUUGCCCUCUACUCACGGCGCAGCUGUGUUACAUGCCGAGUAAAAGAACGAAGCGAGAUUGAAAGCAACACCAGAAACCCCAGCCCUCGCUCUUGCUUGCGGCGGUGCAGCUGCCAGGUCGGCGGUGGGACACCGGGGACUGCCAUCCCACUGGGAAGAAAAUAAACCAGCAGCGACCAGGUCUGCCUUCGGCAAACACUAAUGAAGCAUUUUGGGCGUGUUUCUGUUCACGUGACUCUUAGUACAAUAAUGCAAAAUGUACAAAUCAAACCAAAUCAGGUGCGAAUAUUAAUGUCGUUGUUGAAUCCGGAUUUCUUAGAUGGUGGCGCAGCGUCUGUGGCCGAAUAUGCGCAGAACUGCUGGUGGCUAGACGAGAGGAACCCGACAGCUAGCUAUCACAUUUUUCAAGGGCUUAUUCCUAGCUGUUUAAUACCUCAUAUGCUCUCUUGGGGAGGGAGUAGAGAAGAACGGAGGAGUAUAUUUGGCACAGCAAGGAAGUGGACUCAGGUCUUUUCCAUCCGUUAGUGCUGUGCCGAGGGAGAGAAAGCGUGGUCCCGCAGUGGUGCUGAUCCUCCUCCACAGCGAGCUGAACGGUUUGAACUGGAGCAACUCCUCUCAUUUUUCCCCCAUGUGAGUGUGAGUCAGGCUGAGCUUCUCUAUUCUUCUCCAUAAUUGAGUAGGAGAUUAUUUUGACUGGAAAGAACCAGACGCAGGUGUCAUGGCUGUGAACGUCUCCGUGCAGGCCACUUGCUGAAAGUCCUGUAAUGUUCUGCGAGGGAAGUUGGGCUUUAAAGGGUUGGCUCAAUGGAGAGGGAAGAAAAGGAGAGGGGAAGAAUAGCUCCUUCCUGCUCACUUCUGUCUGUCACGGUCUCUUCUAAACUGAACCGGCUGAAUUGUUGGUGGCAUGCUGUUCCUCAGAAGCGGCUCUUUUGUGGAAGGGCUCCCCGGCGACACGGGACGAGACGGGAAAUAUCAGCCACGUCGUGUCUUGCUACAGGAGCUUUUAGCUGCUAUUCCAGUCCCUGCCACAGACGUGCCAAGAAAGUUACAGAACAGCGUUCCUCUAAAAAAAUCUCCCAGGGAAUCUCCCCAUGCACGCGUUUUCCUGUUUCUUCACUUCGUUUUUCCGUAGUGCCCUCUCAUGGCCGUGUGCUUGGGUUGUACUUUGCACCCCUUGGCCGUGGAUUCAGCAAGCGCUGGAGCGCAGCGCAGCACGGAAGAGAAGCAGAGCCGGCGGACUGUGCGGUCUCAUCGGUGCAGGACGACUCUACCGCCCUCGUAGUGGUGAAAUACCCGUUGACACCCACAGCAAAUUUAUCACUAACAGCAUAGACUCUUUCAGAGCAAAGGACAGAGCUACUAUGAAUGUCCGUCCAGAAAAGUCACUGGCUUAAAAAAGAGGUCAUGUACAACUGAAAGAUUAUUUUCAAAGUCAAUGUGAAAAGAAGCUUUUACUUCUUCAGCAUGUGUUCAACCCAUCUUGUCUUCUCCACUUGCUAUUUACUAGUAUCUGCCAUCAGAAGCAAUCCUGCUGCACCUGGUCAGUAGGACUGCUCCUGGUUGCAACUGCCGCUCUUACGAAAUGCCAGAGACUCCUCUUCGGGCAGUCAAAGCAUCUUCAUUUUUAUUGUGCAUUGUACUUUUUUUCCCUCUUUUAAUUAUUGCCCAGAUAUAAAUGAUCCCAACAGUGCUGCUGCAAGGUGUAACUAGGAACAUAAUUUGGUGUGUGUUCCUAAAAUUUAUUUUAAUUGCUCUCCCUGGAGCAGUUUGGGAAUUGUUCUAAUUAUUGGGGAGAAUUAUUUGAAAUGCUGGAGGUACUACUAAUGGAAAUCUGUCCUGCUGCUGACAUCAGUUCAUUGGCAGAUUUGCCAAAAAGUAUCUUUCAGUAUAAGCUAUAUUGAGGUAUGAUCAUACAAAAUAAUGACUUAAGUGCAAUUAUACAGUGUAAUUGUUCUAGAUAAAUUUCUUUUUUUUUUCUUUUCUCUUCUGCAGCAAUACGGAAAGUGCUUAGGUAAGAAUUUCACACUGUAGUUGCACAGAUAAUAUCUGCACAUGCAUUUUGUCUGAAAGUUUUUCCACGCUGACAUCAAUUAGUGUUCCUGGCAUUGCCUUGCAUUGCUGUCACUUCUAGAAUCCAGCAAUUGUUUGCAGAGUCUGCUUCAACUUGCACGUUCACUUAUUUUUUUUUUUUUAAUUAGGAAAUACCCAAAGGGUGGUACUGUUUGUGCUUUUCCUAACAUUAUGCUCUUCCUGUACACGCACGCACACCCUUCUGACAUUAUCUUUUAACUCAAGCAAAUGCAAUCUGAAAUCUGAUUUCUUUAUUGGUAUGUUGUCCUUAUGUGUUAGAUUUCCUGUUGAUGUGUGGAUGAUCCUUGUGCACAGCUUAGGCUGAAGCUAGUCCUACUUUCUCUUAUUUUGCACGCUGUGCCAAUGGACAUCCCUCCUUCCCCAUGGCCCCUCCGCUGCCUCACUGGCAUCCCGGCUCUUGGGCACGGGUUGAAAUGAAAGGAUAAGGAGUGUGAAAACUUUCCACGUGACCAAAACUGUAAGAUUUGGCAAUAUAAGAGAGUCCAUGAACAGUUUACACUAGGUUAAUGUUUGUUCUUAUUUAACCUGGUGCUGUCUGUCUAAGCAAGGCCCCUGCCAGUGUGUUGGCAAGGGAUGAUACUUCAGCAGCCCAUUACUGUGGCCUUAAGCAACUUGCAGGGACCAGUUCAGCAUUUCCCAAAACUACUUUCUGAAGCCAUGCAAACAAUCCAGCGCUCUGUCCAGAAUUAAAAUCAAGCCAUCGUCGGAUUAAUGUUCGGGGCUGAAAGAUGCUAACGCACGCUUCUGUAUUUAAAUUACUUCUGCAACAAAGACAUUGUCUUGUUGUUCAAUUUUGAGCUCUAGAAAUAGCACGUAAAAAAGACUUUGCAGUUCAGAAGUGUUCAUGGGGCUGUACCAACUUUUGCAGGCUAAAUAAAGCGUGGGAAAUAUUUUUUACCA
rnacentral:lncRNA from 1 species